AGAGGCGGAUACCAGGAUUCCAAGAGCAGGGUUCUACUCUGAGAAUAAUUUGUAAUUAUGCAUUUAAUUACUAGCUUGACUAUUCUAUAUCCUCUCCAAUAGACUGUAAUACCUAAAAGGCAUAUGGAAGGUGCCCAAUACAAUGCACUAUGUAUUUGUUAAAGGAAUGAAUGAAACGCAACGUAUUUAGUGGAGGAAGACAUCUUUGAAUGUGGACUUCACCAUGUGUUAGGGUUUUCACAUUCCCAUCUCUUUCGGUAACAUACACCAGAAUCCUGGAACUUGGUGGCCUGAGGUCAGAUCCCAUCCCUACCUCUCACUAGCUCCAUCACAUGGUCUCCCUCCCGUCCCCUGAGAGCUUCCCACGCAGGGAACCAGAUACCUCGCAGCAGCCCCAUCUCCAGACCCCAGGAUUCCUGCAACGGUGGAUACCAUCUUAGCAACCACAGUAGCUGCUUGGCCGUGGGAAAUGCUCCC